rnacentral:lncRNA from 1 species
CAUCUCUACUAAAAAUAUAGCAAUUAGCUGGGUGUAGUAGUAGGUGCCCAUAAUCCCAGCUACUGGGGAGGCUGAGGCAGGAGAAUCUCUUGAACCCAGGAGGCAGAGGUUGCAGUGAGCUGAGAUUGUACCACUGCACUCCAGCCUGGGAGAGUGAGACUCUGUCUCAAAAAAUAAAAUAAAUAAAAAGAUUAGAUAAUCUGCAAAGUUCCUGCGAGCUCUGUCACUUUGUCACUCUGGUUUUUCAGAUUCUUCCCGUGGAGACUGGAGUUUCCAGGAUGUGAAAAUUACCUCUGCUUGGGUGAGCUAUUCCAAGCAGCUGGGAUACCUGUGUCACUCCUGCUGUCUGCCAGUGACUGCCCAGGUGUCCGCUGGUUCCUCCCCAGGAGUAGGGAGGAACCAGGUGGGCUGGCUGGGAUGGGUGGAUAUUUAAAGACCAGGCCUUGGACGCUGCAGCACUUGUAUCUCUGCUUGAGGCCUGCUGCCAUGUGGCUGGUCCUCCUCCUCCUGCCGUGACUGAGCCCCGGGAUGAAGACAGGCAGCUGCUCCCAACCCCAGCAACUUUGCUAUCUUAGAACGGAUCACCAGUGAAAGAGGGGAAGUUGCUACUGUGAUGAAUUCUGCCAUGUGGUACCAGACUGCUGCCCAGACCACAGUGUCCUCUGCAACCCUGGUAACUCACAUACAGGCCUGAUUCCACCUACAGCAAAGCUGGAUGCUAUGGUUGGCAGAGGCAAGCCCCUUGCCUGCACUUCAGGCCAAAGCCGGGAUGUGGCCUAGAUGGUUCCUAAGGUCCCUGACAGUCCUGAGAUCUUUCAUCUUGUCUAUUUCAGGUCAAAGCUUCUCAGAUGACC